UACGUAGGGUGCGAGCGUUAAUCGGAAUUACUGGGCGUAAAGCGUGCGUAGGCGGCUUUGCAAGUGGCGGGUGAAAUCCCUCGGCUUAACCGGGGAACUGCGUCCGAUACUGGUUGGCUUGAGUUUGGGAGAGGGAUGCGGAAUUCCAGGUGUAGCGGUGAAAUGCGUAGAUAUCUGGAGGAACACCGGUGGCGAAGGCGGCAUCCUGGACCAAUACUGACGCUGAGGAGCGAAAGCCAGGGGAGCAAACGGG
rnacentral:rRNA from 1 species